rnacentral:lncRNA from 1 species
AAAGAGAGGCUUGUUGAGGUAUGCACACUAAGUACAAAUGAAAAUACAUCAAUCUGUCAUCUUUUCUAUUUGUUUAUAUGUUCUAGCUUCAGUGGCGGUCGAGUAUUUGGACUCCUGGUUACUUCCCUCAUUAAUCAUCAAAGUGUAAAAAGUCUGAUUUUUACAGAAAAAUAAAACUUGCCCCUUUUAUUAUUAUUAUUUUCACAUUUUCUAACAAUCUGCUCUAAUUUGAAUAAAUACCAGAAGCUUUUUAAAAAAAAAGUCAAAUAAAUCAAUCCAGUUGGGAUUUGUUGUUGUUGUUGUUGCCAUUAUUAUUGAAAAUGACACAUUUUCUUGGCGAAAGUGCCCGAAUGUCCCGGUCACUGCCCUCCCACCUGUGAUGUAAGACUGGAGAUAUUAAUAAACUCCUGUAACUAUGCAUCCAAAGUGCCUGUGUCAUGUGGGUUAGGUGAAUGACAGGGGAUAAAGAACAUGAAAAAACACAUCAGGCUAUGAGAAGUGUCAAACCUGUCCAGAAAUACUUGGAUUUUGGCAACAUUUGAUACACUGAAUUUAAAAGUUUAACUUUAAACCUUAAAAAAAAGACUUAAUUAAAUCGUUUUCUAUUUAAAUCCCCCUAAAUUUAAAUUUACCAAACGAGUUUGUAGUAUUUACCACAAAUAUAAGAAAAAUCUUUCAUUAAAAAUGUAAAUAAAAGGAUUAAAUUGGUGAAAAAAAAAUCCAUGUGAGUCUUCAAGUUGCCAUCCUUCAAAUGUUCAUACCUGCUCUGCGCAAAGGCGCUCCCUGUCUUUCACAAAUCCUGAUCCAGUCUUUGGUUCACCCGCGACACUCGGACUCUGCGCCGCCAAACAGACAAGUCCUCUCUCUGAGGGUGCUUCCUUUCAAUUGCCACCCAGCUGAGUUAUGUAAAGAUCCACGGCGGGGUUUAAAGGGCCCCUCUUCUACUCGGAGCGCCCGGAUCACUGCGCCACAGACAAGUCCAGAUGACAGCAGAUGAGCAUCCUUCUCCGCCACAACCCGAGGCCCGUUCGCCGCCCACGGACGCGGGGUGGCUCCCUUCCUCCUCCUCCUCCUCCUCCUCUUUUCCUCAGACGUUGCGCCACAGAUGAUGCGCUAAGAUGGAUGAAGGCGUGCAGCAGUGCAGUUGACGGGGGAGAUGGGGGGGUUCUCCUGACAGCAUCCGCCCCGCGCGCUCGGAUGAGCUCAGCUUCAGCACCAUCCGGGUGAACAGCUGCUGCGCUGGCUCUAGAGCUCCCUCUCUGCGCCGUCAGAGAACCGCUUCCUCAACACCGACGACUUCUUCUUUGGUCAUAGAAAGAGGAAGUGUCCUGCCGCUGGCCUCUGCGAGCCCUACCACUGAGGGUUCCUCCUGCUUUUUCAGCUUUUGUUUGCUGCAGCUGAGGGCCUGCAGCGCCGCUCUCUGUUGGUGUCAUCAUCC